UGAGCAACCUGACCCGUUGACCCUGGAAUAACAGCUGGAAACAGCUGCUAAUACCGGAUACGACCUCCGAUGGCAUCAUCUGGAGGUGGAAAGCUCCGACGGUCAAGGAUGGGCUCGCGGCCUAUCAGCUUGUUGGUGAGGUAACGGCUCACCAAGGCUUCGACGGGUAGCCGGCCUGAGAAGGCGACCGGCCACACUGGGACUGAGAUACGGCCCAGACUCCCGUAGGGA
rnacentral:rRNA from 1 species